rnacentral:rRNA from 1 species
CCUACGGGCGGCUGCAGUGGGGAAUAUUGGACAAUGGGGGCAACCCUGAUCCAGCCAUGCCGCGUGUGUGAAGAAGGCCCUCGGGUUGUAAAGCACUUUCAGUGAGGAAGAACGCCUGGUGGUUAAUACCCAUCAGGAAAGACAUCACUCACAGAAGAAGCACCGGCUAACUCCGUGCCAGCAGCCGCGGUAAUACGGAGGGUGCGAGCGUUAAUCGGAAUUACUGGGCGUAAAGCGCGCGUAGGUGGCUUGAUAAGCCGGUUGUGAAAGCCCCGGGCUCAACCUGGGAACGGCAUCCGGAACUGUCAAGCUAGGGUGCAGGGGAGGAAGGUAGAAUUCCCGGUGUAGCGGGGAAAUGGGUAGAGAUCGGGAGGAAUACCAGUGGCGAAGGCGGCCUUCUGGACUGACACUGACACUGAGGUGCGAAAGCGUGGGUAGCAAACAGGAUUAGAUACCGAGUAGUC